AGAGCGAACGCUGGCGGCAGGCUUAACACAUGCAAGUCGAGCGCCCCGCAAGGGGAGCGGCAGACGGGAGAGUAACACGUGGGAACGUACCUUUCGGUUCGGAACAACCCAGGGAAACUUGGGCUAAUACCGGAUACGCCCGCAAGGGGAAAGAUUUAUCGCCGGAAGAUCGGCCCGCGUCUGAUUAGCUAGUUGGUGAGGUAACGGCUCACCAAGGCGACGAUCAGUAGCUGGUCUGAGAGGAUGAUCAGCCUCACUGGGACUGAGACACGGCCCAGACUCCUACGGGAGGCAGCAGUGGGGAAUAUUGGACAAUGGGCGCAAGCCUGAUCCAGCCAUGCCGCGUGGGUGAUGAAGGCCCUAGGGUUGUAAAGCCCUUUCGGCGGGGAAGAUAAUGACGGUACCGCAAGAAUAAGCCCCGGCUAACUUCGCGCCAGCAGCCGC
rnacentral:rRNA from 1 species